rnacentral:ncRNA from 2 species
AUGACCGCUGCGGGAGAGACCGGUGCCCGCUGCACCGGCGCCGACGGAGCAACCCCCCAGGAAACUCUCAGGCACCAGGGACCGCCGCGGAAGG